AUGGCUAACGCGGUCGACAUCUUCUCUUAUUCACAUCUGUUCGCAUGUUGUUCCAUCAUGAACGAAGAACUCUCGUCCUCCUUCAAUCUUAACAUCGCGUCACAACCUUCGUCUCAAGCUUCUUUUAGCUUCGAUUUAGUUUCUUGUCAAUUGCGAGUUUUCCUCUUCAAGUCUUCGAACGAGGCUCUGAUUUCUCUUUGA